rnacentral:rRNA from 1 species
GACGUAGGGCGCGAGCGUUGUCCGGAUUUAUUGGGCGUAAAGAGCUCGUAGGCGGCUUGUCGCGUCGACUGUGAAAUCCCGCGGCUCAACUGCGGGUCUGCAGUCGAUACGGGCAGGCUAGAGUUCGGUAGGGGAGACUGGAAUUCCUGGUGUAGCGGUGAAAUGCGCAGAUAUCAGGAGGAACACCGAUGGCGGAGGCAGGUCUCUGGGCCGAUACUGACGCUGAGGAGCGAAAGCGUGGGGAGCGAACAGG